CGGUCCGAGGAGCGUUGCAGCGCCGACAUAGGCGUGAGGCUCGGACACCUUCGCAACCACGCUCAUCCGCU
rnacentral:ncRNA from 2 species